AGAGUUUGAUCCUGGCUCAGAAUGAACGCUGGCGGCGUGGAUUAGGCAUGCAAGUCGUACGAGAAAGCGGAAUUUAUUUCGCGAGUACAGUGGCGAACGGGUGAGUAACGCGUGGGAAACCUGCCCUGAAGUGGGGGAUAACAUUCCUAACGGAAUGCUAAUACCGCAUAACAUUUCUUGACGCAUGUCAGGAAAUCAAAGGUGGCCUCUACUUGUAAGCUGUCGCUUUAGGAUGGUCCCGCGUCCAAUUAGCUAGUUGGUAGGGUAACGGCCUACCAAGGCGACGAUUGGUAGCCGGCCUGAGAGGGUGACCGGCCACACUGGGACUGAGACACGGCCCAGACUCCUACGGGAGGCAGCAGUCGAGAGGCUUCGGCAAUGGGGGAAACCCUGACCGAGCGACGCCGCGUGGACGAUGAAGUUCUUCGGAACGUAAAGUCCUGUCAUAUGGGAUGAAAAGUCGAUUGAUUAACAGUCCUUCGAUCUGACAGUACCAUAAGAGGAAGCUCCGGCUAACUCCGUGCCAGCAGCCGCGGUAAUACGGGGGGAGCAAGCGUUAUUCGGAUUCAUUGGGCGUAAAGGGUUCGUAGGCGGCCUGACAAGUCAGAGGUGAAAUCCAACGGCUCAACCGUUGACCUGCCUUUGAAACUAUCAGGCUUGAGUAUAGGAGAGGAAAGCGGAAUUCUUGGUGUAGCGGUGAAAUGCGUGGAUAUCAAGAGGAACACCCGUGGCGAAAGCGGCUUUCUGGCCUGAUACUGACGCUGAUGAACGAAAGCUAGGGGAGCAAACGGGAUUAGAUACCCCGGUAGUCCUAGCCGUAAACGAUGGGCACUAGGUGUAGAAGGUAUCGACCCCUUCUGUGCCGAAGCUAACGCAUUAAGUGCCCCGCCUGGGGAGUACGGCCGCAAGGUUGAAACUUAAAUGAAUUGACGG
rnacentral:rRNA from 1 species